rnacentral:rRNA from 1 species
CCCGCCCGUCGCUCCUACCGAUUGAAUGGUCCGGUGAAGUUUUCGGAUCGCGGCGACGCCGGCGGUUCGCCGCCGGUGACGUUGUGAGAAGUUCAUUAAACCUUAUCAUUUAGAGGAAGGAGAAGUCGUAACAAGGUUUCCGUAGGUGAACCUGCGGAAGGAUCAUUG